AGAGUUUGAUCCUGGCUCAGGACGAACGCUGGCGGCGUGCUUAACACAUGCAAGUCGAGGGGGCAUCGGGGGCAACCCUGGUGUCACCGGCGAACGGGUGCGUAACACGUGAGCGACCUGCCCAUUUCGUGGGGGAUAGCCGGCCCAACGGCCGGGUAAUACCGCAUACGCUCUACCUGGGGCAUCCUGGGGAGAGGAAACUUCCGGGGCGGAUGGAGGGGCUCGCGGCCUAUCAGCUAGUUGGUGGGGUAACGGCUCACCAAGCCGACGAUCGGUAGCUGGUUUGAGAGGAUGAUCAGCAACACUGGGACUGAGACACGGCCCAGACUCCUACGGGAGGCAGCAGUGGGGAAUUUUCCGCAAUGGGCGAAAGCCUGACGGAGCAAGACCGCGUGAGGGAGGAAGGCUCUUGGGUUGUAAACCUCUUUUGUCAGGGAAGAAGAAAGUGACGGUACCUGACGAAUCAGCAUCGGCUAACUCCGUGCCAGCAGCCGCGGUAAUACGGAGGAUGCAAGCGUUAUCCGGAAUUAUUGGGCGUAAAGCGUCCGCAGGUGGCACUUCAAGUCUGUCGUCAAAGACCGGGGCUUAACCCUGGAAAGGCGAUGGAAACUGAAAGGCUAGAGAGAGGUAGGGGUAGAGGGAAUUCCCAGUGUAGCGGUGAAAUGCGUAGAGAUUGGGAAGAACAUCGGUGGCGAAAGCGCUCUACUGGGCCACAACUGACACUCAGGGACGAAAGCUAGGGGAGCGAAUGGGAUUAGAUACCCCGGUAGUCC
rnacentral:rRNA from 1 species